rnacentral:rRNA from 1 species
CCGAAAGGUGGUCUAAUACUUCAUAAUAUCCAUCUCGUAUGGAUUAAAGCUUUAUGCGCUUUGGGAGGGCCUGCGUAACAUUAGUUUGUUGGUGAGGUAAAAGCUCACCAAGGCUUCGAUGUUUAACUGGUUUGAGAGGAUGACCAGUCACACUGGGACUGAGAUACGGCCCAGACUCCUACGGGAGGCAGCAGUAAGGAAUCUUCCACAAUGGGGCAACCCUGAUGGAGCAAUACCGCGUGCAGGAUGAAGCGUCUCGGCGUGUAAACUGCUUUUAUCACCGAAGAUUAUGACUGUAGGUGAAGAAUAAGGACCGGCUAACUACGUG